ACUCUCCCAGGUUUUCUGUGUUAAAUGUCAUCAACAAUAAAGUAAAGAAGCUGAGGUUCAGAGAGGAUCAAUGAACUACCUGAUGUCGCCCAAGGAGGAGCACGUCAAGAUUUUCACUAGGUUGUCUUUCAUGCCAAAGUGUGUGCUUUGAACUCCAGGUUGCCCUGGUGUCAGAGGAGGGAACAUUUGGGCUUUCCUAUCAGCUUGCCCACAUGGGGCAGUGGGAGAAGAAGUGAUGGUACUUGAAAGCUGUCAACAGUCAAACAUCAAAAAUGGAGUCAAACUCUAUUACAAACUUGCAGACCAGAGAUGUCUCUUCAUCAGUGCUCAGCCCAGCUACCCUCUAGGUUGGUCUUUCUGAGGUGGCUGAAAUUCAUUAAUAAAG
rnacentral:lncRNA from 1 species